rnacentral:piRNA from 1 species
UGUCCAGACUCCACAUAUCUGCCCCUUGC